rnacentral:lncRNA from 1 species
CCUGCGGAGAGGGGCCCGGGCUCGGGCGGGGGCUGCGGCGCGCGGCUGCCCGAGGGCGGGGCGGGGGAAGGGGGAGUGUCGGGCAGCCGCCGCCACCACCCGGGCUGGGGAGUUCGCUGAAGCCCUUUCCUCAAAACCGCCCGUCGUCUUUGCUGGAACCCGGGCGUCCGCGCCUGGAACCCUUGCCGCUCUGACGGGUGCAGAAGCGCGAGUUGCCUUAUCCCGUAGAGCUGCAGGGACGGCCCCAGCCCCCCUUUCCCUCCCUGUCCCUUUCUUUCCAUCGCCCAAGUCAUGGGGAACGCGGCUACCGCCAAGAAAGGCAGCGAGGUGGAAAGCGAUUAGGAAUGAAAACUAUAUUAAGACAAAACGGCAGUGUUAUCCUUUAAGGAAGAAAAGCGAGGCAGGUUCGACUUUUCUUGGGAUGCUCAAGGAUCUGCUGCAAUGCCUGUAAAACUUAAAGGUCACUCGGAGUUCAACUGCUUUCAGAACCCUGUUGAUUGCUCUUGAAAGCUAAAAGUGCAGGUACU